rnacentral:ncRNA from 2 species
AAUAAACAGAUUUAUAGCACUCAUAUAAAUCCAGAAAUAUGGUCUGGAAGUCUCUACCGGUCAACCUUAAAUUGUCCGACUAUGGGUGGAAUUAUUAUAGGA